UCUGAUAGAACAAAAUGUAUUCAUUAUUAGGGAGGGCAAAACGGAGCUUUAGAAUGUCGCCAGCAGUGUACCGCGUAGUUUAACUUGGACCCUGUAGGUUAAUCUGAUCAACACAAACAAACUCAGCAAAGCAGCUAUGCAAAUAAUACAAGCAAUAAACAAGUAGGCGCGAGUGCAAAAACUAAAAUAAACAUCUUAGCCUACGUAGCUAUACCUAUCUUUCCAUCAAGUAAAUUCAAGCUCGCGUGUGUCUGUAUUCCAGGCAUCAGUCCAAGGAUUUUGUACGUGAUGUCACAGGAUGGCGUCAUUUUCUGAUCCUUACGCUGGCCCCACACUAGAGGAUAAUUGGGCCGAUUUUGUGCCCGAUUCGCUCUUCCCGACAAUCGCGGGGGCGUUCCCGAUCCGAGGCUAGUCUGAACCGAUUAGCUGCCCAAAUGAUCCUGUAGUGUGAGGGGUUUACAGACAUGAUCUUAAUGUUACCGACUGGAUCGGAGUCUCCCCGAUCUUGAAUCGUAAAUAUCAAACAUGUUUGAUAUGGAAUAUUAAGCAGGAACACGCAAUAGCCAAUGAGAGUGAGCUGACCGGGAAGCGUCACCAACCGAUUUUUUUUCGGCUUGCAGAAAACGAAGUUCUCUGCGAACGAAAUUGUUUUAUACUCGAAGUUUAAAAAAAAAAAGAAAAAAGUUUUUUCCUUGGUGAGCCAUGGAAGAGACACCGCCAACAGAAGGCACAAUGAACAAGCUGGUUUCACUGCCAACCCCAUAAAGGGGCCUUUACAUGAUGGGAUGUGAAGGGCUGCCCCAGGACUACCUGGGGGACCUCCUAACUCCGGUGGCAGAGGUCUACAAGCCACUUUCAAUUGCCCUCGCUGUCCACUGGACCACGCACGCUGUUCACUGGACCUCUCGUGAGGUUUCAAUUGCUCUUGUAUAACUGGAUCUCUGUUGUGCAGAAAUGGUUAGUUUCCUCUUCUGUUUUUUUAACCGACUGUUGCCCACAACGGUGCCUCAUACACCAUAGCUUGCCACAGUGGGCCCUCCAGAAGGGGUUUCCUCGCAGCCUGCAGCAGUGAGUGCUUGGGAACGAGCUCCCUUAUCAGCUGCUGCAGCAGUGGGCCUGCCAGAGGAGCCUCCCUUGCUGUCUGCUACAGGGAGCCUCCCAGAAGGGACUCUUUUGCUGUUGCCAACUGCCACAUCAGACCUUCCAGAGGGUCCUUCACCUGUUACAGUAGCUGGCCAUGUGCGUGCUACGGAGGCAGGACUGGCCCUACUGACAGACGAAAACAAAGGCUAAAACCAAGACUAGACACUGCUCUUAUGUGCGAACAAUUCAUGCAACAGGAAACAUCUUAGCAACAGUUAACAGCUGUCAGUCACCUGUUAACUUUCUUUCUCACAGCUGAAAAUGUGGUGACUCAACACAAAAUGUUUUGUAAAAUGGUAAAACAUACCAUAUAUGCUUGUAAAUAUCAUUAAAUAAAAGCAGCAUUUUUUACCUCA